CGUGUAGGCGGCCAAGCAGGUCUGUUGUGAAAACUGGAGGCUCAACCUCCAGACGUCGACAGAAACCGCGUGGCUAGAGUCCGGAAGAGGAGAGUGGAAUUCCUGGUGUAGCGGUGAAAUGCGCAGAUAUCAGGAAGAACACCAAUGGCGAAGGCAGCUCUCUGGGACGGUACUGACGCUGAGACGCGAAAGCGUGGGGAGCGAACA
rnacentral:rRNA from 1 species